AAAUAGUCUUUGUACCUAGCAGUAUCCUGAGUACGGCGGGACACGUGAAAUCCCGUCGGAAUCUGGGAGGACCAUCUCCCAACCCUAAAUACUCCCUAGUGACCGAUAGUGAACCAGUACCGUGAGGGAAAGGUGAAAAGCACCCCGGGAGGGGAGUGAAAUAGAACCUGAAACCGUGUGCCUACAACAAGUUCGAGCCCGUUAAUGGGUGAGAGCGUGCCUUUUGUAGAAUGAACCGGCGAGUUACGUUAUGAUGCGAGGUUAAGUUGAAGAGACGGAGCCGUAGGGAAACCGAGUCUGAAUAGGGCGCCUUAGUAUCAUGACGUAGACCCGAAACCAUGUGACCUACCCAUGAGCAGGUUGAAGGUGCGGUAAGACGCACUGGAGGACCGAACCAGGGCACGUUGAAAAGUGCUUGGAUGACUUGUGGGUAGCGGAGAAAUUCCAAACGAACUUGGAGAUAGCUGGUUCUCUCCGAAAUAGCUUUAGGGCUAGCGUCGACAUUAGAGAUUCUUGGAGGUAGAGCACUGUUUGGGUGAGGGGUCCAUCCCGGAUUACCAAUCUCAGAUAAACUCCGAAUGCCAAUGAAUUAUGGUCGGCAGUCAGACUGCGAGUGCUAAGAUCCGUAGUCGAAAGGGAAACAGCCCAGACCACCAGCUAAGGUCCCAAAAUAAUUGUUAAGUGGAAAAGGAUGUGGGGUUGCACAGACAACUAGGAUGUUAGCUUAGAAGCAGCUAUUCAUUCAAAGAGUGCGUAAUAGCUCACUAGUCGAGUGACCCUGCGCCGAAAAUGUACCGGGGCUAAAACAAUUUACCGAAGCUGUGGAUACCUUUAUAGGUAUGGUAGGAGAGCGUUCUAUGUGUGAUGAAGGUAUACCGUGAGGAGUGCUGGAACGCAUAGAAGUGAGAAUGCCGGUAUGAGUAGCGAAAGACAGGUGAGAAUCCUGUCCACCGUAAGACUAAGGUUUCCAGGGGAAGGCUCGUCCGCCCUGGGUUAGUCGGGACCUAAGGAGAGACCGAAAGGUGUAUCCGAUGGACAACAGGUUGAUAUUCCUGUACUAGAGUAUGUAGUGAUGGAGGGACGCAGUAGGCUAACUAAAGCAGACGAUUGGAAGAGUCUGUCUAAGCAGUGAGGUGUGAAUUGAGUCAAAUGCUUAAUUCUAUAACAUUGAGCUGUGAUGGGGAGCGAAGUUUAGUAGCGAAGUUAGUGACGUCACACUGCCAAGAAAAGCUUCUAGCGUUUAAACAUACUCUACCCGUACCGCAAACCGACACAGGUAGUCGAGGCGAGUAGCCUCAGGUGAGCGAGAGAACUCUCGUUAAGGAACUCGGCAAAAUGACCCCGUAACUUCGGGAGAAGGGGUGCUGACUUUAAGUCAGCCGCAGUGAAUAGGCCCAAGCAACUGUUUAUCAAAAACACAGCUCUCUGCUAAAUCGUAAGAUGAUGUAUAGGGGGUGACGCCUGCCCGGUGCUGGAAGGUUAAGAGGAGUGCUUAGCGUAAGCGAAGGUAUGAAUUGAAGCCCCAGUAAACGGCGGCCGUAACUAUAACGGUCCUAAGGUAGCGAAAUUCCUUGUCGGGUAAGUUCCGACCCGCACGAAAGGCGUAAUGAUUUGGGCACUGUCUCAACGAGAGACUCGGUGAAAUUUUAGUACCUGUGAAGAUGCAGGUUACCCGCGACAGGACGGAAAGACCCCAUGGAGCUUUACUGCAGUUUGAUAUUGAGUGUCUGUACCACAUGUACAGGAUAGGUAGGAGUCUAAGAGAUCGGGACGCCAGUUUCGAAGGAGACGCUGUUGGGAUACUACCCUUGUGUUAUGGCCACUCUAACCCAGAUAGGUGAUCCCUAUCGGAGACAGUGUCUGACGGGCAGUUUGACUGGGGCGGUCGCCUCCUAAAAGGUAACGGAGGCGCCCAAAGGUUCCCUCAGAAUGGUUGGAAAUCAUUCGCAGAGUGUAAAGGUAUAAGGGAGCUUGACUGCGAGAGCUACAACUCGAGCAGGGACGAAAGUCGGGCUUAGUGAUCCGGUGGUUCCGUAUGGAAGGGCCAUCGCUCAACGGAUAAAAGCUACCCUGGGGAUAACAGGCUUAUCUCCCCCAAGAGUUCACAUCGACGGGGAGGUUUGGCACCUCGAUGUCGGCUCGUCGCAUCCUGGGGCUGUAGUCGGUCCCAAGGGUUGGGCUGUUCGCCCAUUAAAGCGGCACGCGAGCUGGGUUCAGAACGUCGUGAGACAGUUCGGUCCCUAUCCGUCGCGGGCGUAGGAAAUUUGAGAGGAUCUGCUCCUAGUACGAGAGGACCAGAGUGGACUUACCGCUGGUGUACCAGUUGUCUUGCCAAAGGCAUCGCUGGGUAGCUAUGUAGGGAAGGGAUAAACGCUGAAAGCAUCUAAGUGUGAAACCCACCUCAAGAUGAGAUUUCCCAUGAUUAUAUAUCAGUAAGAGCCCUGAGAGAUGAUCAGGUAGAUAGGUUAGAAGUGGAAGUGUGGCGACACAUGUAGCGGACUAAUACUAAUAGCUCGAGGACUUAUCCAA
rnacentral:rRNA from 1 species